AGGAAUAUUGGUCAAUGGGCGAGAGCCUGAACCAGCCAAGUAGCGUGAAGGAUGACUGCCCUAUGGGUUGUAAACUUCUUUUAUAAAGGAAUAAAGUCGGGUAUGGAUACCCGUUUGCAUGUACUUUAUGAAUAAGGAUCGGCUAACUCCGUGCCAGCAGCCGCGGUAAUACGGAGGAUCCGAGCGUUAUCCGGAUUUAUUGGGUUUAAAGGGAGCGUAGAUGGAUAUUUAAGUCAGUUGUGAAAGUUUGCGGCUCAACCGUAAAAUUGCAGUUGAUACUGGAUAUCUUGAGUGCAGUUGAGGCAGGCGGAAUUCGUGGUGUAGCGGUGAAAUGCUUAGAUAUCACGAAGAACUCCGAUUGCGAAGGCAGCCUGCUAAGCUGCAACUGACAUUGAGGCUCGAAAGUGUGGGUAUCAAACAGGAUUAGAUACCCUGGUAGUCCACACGGUAAACGAUGAAUACUCGCUGUUUGCGAUAUACUGCAAGCGGCCAAGCGAAAGCGUUAAGUAUUCCACCUGGGGAGUACGCCGGCAACGGUGAAACUCAAAGGAAUUGACGGGGGCCCGCACAAGCGGAGGAACAUGUGGUUUAAUUCGAUGAUACGCGAGGAACCUUACCCGGGCUUAAAUUGCAGAUGAAUUACGGUGAAAGCCGUAAGCCGCAAGGCAUCUGUGAAGGUGCUGCAUGGUUGUCGUCAGCUCGUGCCGUGAGGUGUCGGCUUAAGUGCCAUAACGAGCGCAACCCUUGUUGUCAGUUACUAACAGGUUUUGCUGAGGACUCUGACAAGACUGCCAUCGUAAGAUGUGAGGAAGGUGGGGAUGACGUCAAAUCAGCACGGCCCUUACGUCCGGGGCUACACACGUGUUACAAUGGGGGGUACAGAGGGCCGCUACCACGCGAGUGGAUGCCAAUCCCCAAAACCUCUCUCAGUUCGGACUGGAGUCUGCAACCCGACUCCACGAAGCUGGAUUCGCUAGUAAUCGCGCAUCAGCCACGGCGCGGUGAAUACGUUCCCG
rnacentral:rRNA from 1 species